rnacentral:rRNA from 1 species
AGGACGAACGCUGGCGGCGUGCUUAACACAUGCAAGUCGAGCGGAAAGGCCCUUCGGGGUACUCGAGCGGCGAACGGGUGAGUAACACGUGAGGAACCUGCCCUUAACUCUGGGAUAGCUUCGGGAAACCGGAAUUAAUACCGGAUAUGACUGCGACCGGCAUCGGUCGUGGUGGAAAGAUUUAUCGGUUGGGGAUGGACUCGCGGCCUAUCAGCUUGUUGGUGAGGUAACGGUUCACCAAGGCGACGACGGGUAGCCGGCCUGAGAGGGCGACCGGCCACACUGGGACUGAGACACGGCCCAGACUCCUACGGGAGGCAGCAGUGGGAAUAUUGCGCAAUGGGCGAAAGCCUGACGCAGCAACGCCGCGUGCGGGAUGAAGGCCUUCGGGUUGUAAACCGCUUUCAGCAGGGACGAAGCGAAAGUGACGGUACCUGCAGAAGAAGCGCCGGCUAACUACGCGCCAGCACGCCGC